CUAGUAUUUCCCAUGGCUGUCAUUUUCCAGAUGCUGCGUGAGGCACUGAGAUGUAGAGGAAAGCAUGUUCAUGAAGAGGCUGGACAGGCAUCCUAGGCAACAGCUAUCCUACUUCUUGGUAAAGGAGACCCCAUCCUCCAGAAUUCAAAGAAGAAAGUUGAACCCUUCUCACAUUAAGCCUAUCUUAAAAGCUGCUUUUAGAAACUCCAGUGCACACUCACACACCAUUAUAUGUUAUUUCAGGCUGGUGUAAUAAUAAAACUGUCAAUCCUAUGAAUAAGAACUGUUUC
rnacentral:lncRNA from 12 species